rnacentral:lncRNA from 1 species
CUACUACUACGACUACUAUCACUACCACUACUACUACCACUACCACGACGAUUACCACUACGACUACCACGACAACUACCACUACGACGACUACCACUACGACGACCACGACGACUACCACUACGACGACAACGACUGCUACCACUACGACGACUACGACUACGACCACUACGACUACGACGACAGCUACUACUACGACGACGACUACUACUACGACUCCUACUACUACUACGACUCCUACUCCUACUACUGCUACCACUACCGCUACCGCGGCUACCGCUACCGCUACCGCGGCUACCGCUACGGCUACUGCUACUGCUACUGCUACUGCUACGGCUACGGCUACGGCUACGGCUACGCCUACUACGACUACGACUACUACGACUACGACUACGACUACGACUACUACGACUACGACUACUACUACUACGACUACGACUACGACUACGACUACUACUACGACUACGACUACUACUACGACUACUACAACGACUACUACUACGACGACUACUACUACUACGACUACUACUACUACGACUACUACUACGACUACUACUACGACGACUACUACUACGACUACUACUACGACUACUACUACGACUACUACUACUACUACGACUACGAUGACGACUACGAAUACCACGACUACUACGAAUACCACGACUACUACUACGACUACUACUACGACUACGACGACGACUACGAAUACCACGACCACGACCACGACGACCACGACCACGACGACCACGACCACG